AAAAAGCUCGCCCGAGAAGUGAUCGAGUCCUCCUAGAGAAUAAUUCUCCCCUGAAACAUCUGAAAUCGUCGGAAAACAGGUUAAACGCAUACGCGGGUUCACUUUGGAAAAUUGCAGCAGCUCGACCCGAUUACAAGAUUACGUCUCGACCUCGUCACUCUCACGAUCCUUCGUAGAGGCAUUAAAGAGAAUUCACCGGAACUCGAAAAUGGAUGGCCAUGGAAAUGUAACAAAAAAAAAAGGGCUUAUUAGAG